CUGCAUUCCACCCGACCACCCUGACAGGAGCAAGGGUCGGGGCACGCCAAUGACCUGUGACCUCCGAGUAAGAGAAGACACAGGAGCAGACGUCCUCUGGAGACGAAUUUCCUUCUGGCUGAUUUUCAGAAGAAAAAUGUGGUGAGUGUGACAGCUGGCUCACACUGAUAAACACUGCUGUCAAUACUGCAACAGGAACGUUGGUGCAGAUACACUAUAUUAUAUCCAUGCAUCCUCUGCCAGGCGGGAUGACGAUGCUGUGAGCAGAGGGAGGAAAAAUGUCUGCAGGAGAUAAACAUGAAUCAGCAGAUCAUGUUCCUGCAGAAGCUUCGUCUUCCAGCCCAGCUGAUGUGUGGAAGUGAUGAAGGACACAGUGAUGUGCUCACUGGACUCAAACUCUAAAAAUAAAACAACAAUGAGUCAGAAAAAACAACAGCCUGACAAGAAGAGGAGUUUAUUUAUCACACCUUUGCAAAAUGGGGCACAAAGACUGAGCUCACAGCCUUCAGGGCUGUACAGGUAAUCAGCAGCAGUAAAGUCAACACACACACACACACACACACACACACACACACACAGUCACCUGCACACACUCUGCAGCCUUAGCUCACAUGGAUUUUUCACUACGUUAAGUGAACAACAAUAAGUUUAAAACAGAAGCAAAGACGUGGUAUUGGCUCCUCAUCACUUAUUUCCCAUAAUGCUGUGGUGACAACACAAACACCACGCAGGAGGCAUUAAA